rnacentral:rRNA from 1 species
CUUCCUACGGGGGGCAGCAGUGAGGAAUAUUGGUCAAUGGGCGCGAGCCUGAACCAGCCAAGUCGCGUGAGGGAAGACGGUCCUAUGGAUUGUAAACCUCUUUUGUCGGGGAGCAAAAGACGCCACGUGUGGCGUUCCGAGAGUACCCGAAGAAAAAGCAUCGGCUAACUCCGUGCCAGCAGCCGCGGUAAUACGGAGGAUGCGAGCGUUAUCCGGAUUUAUUGGGUUUAAAGGGUGCGCAGGCGGCCUGUUAAGUCAGCGGUAAAAGCCCGGGGCUCAACCCCGUCGAGCCGUUGAAACUGGCG